GAUGUAUGUGCGUAUGUGUGGUUAGAUGUGGUUGUAUGUAGCUUUUACCGUAGUUACUCUUUUAAUCAUUUGUUGUAAAUAUCAUCUGCACAUGGUAUUUAUUCAUCCUGCAGAUGACGUAAACACCAGCAGUGUCACCUAUGCAUUGAAUGCAGGAGCUCAGGUCAUACCAACCUGGCUAAAGCUUUUGUUUAUUACAUUCUUGUAAUAAAAGUCCAUCCGCCUCACA